rnacentral:lncRNA from 1 species
GGCGCUGCUUGGGCGUCUGCCGCCGCGCGUCCUCCUCGUCCUCGUCCUCCCACAUGGGCAUGGAGAUGGAGUAGUGCAGGAUCAGCGUCCAGAUGAGCCCCAGGAUCAGCUUCAGGUUGCCGUCCACGAUGGCCUUGCUGUCUGCGGGGGGGGGCAGCGGGGCAUCAUCAGCCCCCGGGGGCGCGGGGACGCGGCACGGGCACGGGGAGGCGACACCGCUGGGGCACGGGGUGCGGGGACAUGGCACAGGGACAUGGCGCUGCUGGGGCAUGGGGACACGGCACAGGGACGCGGCACUGCCGGGGCACGGGGACACAGCACCGGGAUGCGGCACCGUCAGGGACACAAGUGCCAUCCUGGGCACAGGGACGCGGCCCCGUCGGCACACAGGGUGCGGGAACGCAACACAAGCACACAGCAUUGUCGGGGACACAGCGCCAUCCUGGGCACGGGGACGCGGUACUGUCAGGGACAUGGGGCCACCAGGGGUGCGGGGCACAGGGACACGGCACUGUCAGAGCACAGGGUGCGGGGACGCAGCAUCGUCAGGAACAGGCUGCCAUCCURGGCAGAGACACAGCACCAUUGGGGACAGGGAGCCAUCGGGGUGCAGGGACACGGUGCCAUCCUGGGCACAGGGACACAGCACCAUCAGGGACGCGGUGCCAUCAGGGCCACGGGGCACAGGGACAUGGCAGCGUUGGGGACGCGGUGCCAUCAGGGGUGCAGGGCACAGGAACACAGCACCAUCGGGGCAUGGGGUGUGGGGACGUGGCACAGGCACAUGGCACUGUCAGAGACGCCAUGCCAUCGGGGCCAUGGGGCACAGGGACACGGCGCCAUCGGGGAAGACAGUGCCAUCAGGGGCACAGGGACACGGUGCCAUCCUGGGCAAAGGGACAUGGCACUGCUGGGGACACGGUGCCACCAGGGGCACAGGGACAUGGCACCAUCGGGGAACACAGUGCCAUCAGUGGCACAGGGACAUGGUACCAUCCUGGGCAAAGGGACACGGCACUGCUAGGGACACGGUGCCAUCGGGCACAGGGACACGAUGCCAUCCUGGGCACAGGGACGUGGCACUGCUGGGGACACAGUGCCAUCAGGGGCACAGGGACACGG